rnacentral:lncRNA from 1 species
CAACCACACCACGUCAAAUGCCUUACUAAAUUCAGCACCAUUCACCCAUAUGAUAAAGCAUCAGGAAGUUUACCUCAACCUAAGGAGUAAGGCUGUUGGUUGCUGUGAUUUCCAUUUUUGAGGUUUUUUAUCAUGAAAAUCUUCAGUGUGCUUGUUAGUAUAGAGCACGUAAUAGAUCCUUAAGCCAAUGCUGACCUUUGUCCAUGAAGGAAG